rnacentral:rRNA from 1 species
GCCUGUUUAUCAAAAACAUGUCUCUUUGUAUAUUAAGAAUAUAAGGAGUCGAACCUGCCCGGUGACUAUAUUGUUAAACGGCCGCGGUACCCUAACCGUGCAAAGGUAGCAUAAUCAUUUGCCUUUUAAUUGGAGGCUGGUAUGAAUGGUUUGACGAGAGCUAUGCUGUCUCUUUCGAAAUAUUUAAAAAUUAACCUUUAGGUGAAGAGGCCUGAAUUUAUUUAAGGGACAAGAAGACCCUGUUGAGCUUUAGUGAUUUUAUAAAUUUACAGGUAAUCUAGUUAAUGAUUAUAGUUCGGUAUAUUAAUAUAUAACAUAGGUUUAUAGGUAAUCUUUAGUUGGGGCGACUGAGGAACACAUAAAGCUUCCUUGAAUUUAAGAGCGUGUUAAGCAAUUUAGUUUACUGAUGCAUUUAUGUUAAUUUUGAUCCAAUUUAUUUUGAUUAAGAGAAAAAGUUACCACAGGGAUAACAGCGUAAUCUUUCUGGAGAGAUCUAAUCGAAAGAAGGGUUUGCGACCUCGAUGUUGGACUAAGAUAUCCUGAGGGUGUAGAAGUUCUCAAAGGUUGGUCUGUUCGACCAUUAAAAUCUUACGUGAUCUGAGUUCAAACCGG